rnacentral:rRNA from 1 species
UACGAAGGGGGCUAGCGUUGCUCGGAAUCACUGGGCGUAAAGCGCACGUAGGCGGAUUGCUAAGUCAGGGGUGAAAUCCUGGAGCUCAACUCCAGAACUGCCUUUGAUACUGGCGACCUUGAGUCCGGGAGAGGUGAGUGGAACUGCGAGUGUAGAGGUGAAAUUCGUAGAUAUUCGCAAGAACACCAGUGGCGAAGGCGGCUCACUGGACUGGUAUUGACGCUGAGGUGCGAAAGCGUGGGGAGCAAACAGG